ACACAUGUAUAAAAACUGUUUUGAAAACAUUAGUUUAGUAAAAAUGAAGGCAUGGGCUGGAGAGUUGGCUCCGCGGUUAAGAGCAUUAACUGUACUUCCAGAGGUCCUGAGUUCAAUUCCCAGCAACCACAUGGUGGCUCACAACCAUCUGUAAUGAGAUCAGAUGCCCUCUACUGGUGUGUCUGAGAACAGCAACAGUGCUCACAUACACAAAAUAAAUAAAUCUUAAGAAAGAAAGAAAAGAAGAAGAAAGGGUGAGCUGGAUUGAUGGCUCAGCAGUUAAGAAGGCAUACUGCUCUUUCUAAGCCCCUAACUUCAGUUCCCAGCACCACGUCAGGCAGCUCACGGCCCUCAGUAACACCUAUUCUAGAGGGUCUGACCCCUCUUCUGAGCUCUGGGGACGUGCACCCUGUGUGCACAUACCUACACACAGAUACACAUAUGCAGAUAAAAAAUAAGGUUUUAAAAUAAUGUAAAUAAUGAGAUGGACUAAGGGCUGGGACUAGAGCUCAAUGUUCAGUCAUUUGCCAAGCAUUUGUGAGGCCCUACAUUCAAUUCCUAGGGCUGUAAGAAAGGAAAAAAAACGGAAACCUUCACUUGAACCUCCUUGGUGAUUGUUGUGUGUUUUUUUUUUAAAUACAGAUUAUGUAAACAUUGAUUUUGUAAACCAAUGUUGAAAUUUCAAAAGGAAAAUCAUUAGAUGAUUCUUAUUAAAUCCCUCAUUCUUCCUUGAUUAUCCCUUUGAAGGCCCUCCUGCUGAAGACCUCUUUUACCCAUUGGUUUACUUUCUGUCUGUUGUAUAUACCUGUAAUACCCUGUGCACUCUCUCUCCCUCUCAUGGCAUUUUCUAUUCUGGCUAGUAACAUCUGUGUAUAACAGAUCUCUGCAUACAGACUGCCAGGAUCUCCAGAACAAGGGAGGACCUUUUCCUAAUAUGUGUAUCCAAAGCAUGUGGUAGUGUCUAAGACAGUCACAUGAUCAGUUUAAUUAAUAAAAAUGAUAGUUGAGAGAAGGAACUCAUCAAGUGAGUCUUUUCUUAAUGGAGAAACAGAUUCAUGGUUUAAAUACAGGGGAAGAGGCAGGCACUCGAAAAGAGGGCUUGCUGCCUCCAGGUCAGAAUCCUAGAGGAUUCUAAGCAAAGGUGUAAGAUUAGAACCGAGCAGCUGCUCUUUUGAAAGAUAACAGCAAACUUGGGACAUUAGUUUUUUUGUAGACCAAAGACAGUCAAAUGGCACCAAUGAAAAACAAGAGAAUGUGUGCUGAGUUACUUUGAAUUAAAAAGUUUAACAUUUUGGUUGACUUUAAUAAUUGUUACAUAGUGUUUGCUGAGUUGUGUACUGGAAGCCAGGUGAGGAAGGUCCUGGGUAUACAGUGAUGGGAAAUUUUUAUUACAGUUUGCAUGUAUACAGUAACGAGUCAAAGCAGCCGAGUGACGUGGUACUACAGUAGCCACGGUUAUGUGGGUCAAAGCAGCCGAGUGACAUGGUACUACAGUAGCCACAGUUAUAUGGGUCUAAGCCAGCCUUGGUGACCUGACACUGAAUAAAAUGAGCUCUGUUCCCUCUUGCUAGUUCAAAAAAAGAAUAACCUAAAACACUGAAUUUAAAAACCACGUUUAAGCCCGGCAGUGGUGACACACACCUUUAAUUUCGGCACUGAGGAGGCACAGGUAGGCAGAUCUGUGUUCAGGGCCAGAAUGGUCUACAGAAAGAGUUCCAGGACAGCCAGGGCUACACUGAGAAACCUUGUUUCAAAAAAUCAAGAAAACAAACAAAUCAACAAGUUUAAAUGGAGAAGUCUUGUGAAAUUCAAUUCAAACUUAAUGUUCCCGGAACUUCUAAAGAAUGUUAACUCUCUUCCCAGGUAGAGCUGUAGUGGGGUUCUCUUACAGGUAGAACAGAGUCCCAGGUGCUCCAUCUGAAGUCAUUUUUAGAUAACCAUAAUUUAUAACUUUUACCAGAUAUAUCAUAAUGGUCAUAUACCAGAUAUUCCUUCUCCGGAUUUCCUCAUUUCUUGGUCAUUUCUUCCCCACUACAUUCAUUGCCUGCUUUUAAUAUGAGAUAUUGAAAGAUAAAACAGUAUUAACUAUAAUAAUUGUAUUUUCCUUGAUAUGUCUUUUGAUAAUAUUGUUUACUGUGGUAAGAUAGUUGGUUAUGUAGACAUGUAGGUCAGUAAGACUCAUGAGCGAACUGUGUUCUGUCCAUUUAUUAUAUGUACUUUAAUGUAAAUUACACUACUAUCAGGUAGACAGACCUGAAAGAUAACGUGGCUAACAGACCCAAACAGUUACCUUCCAGUACGUUCUUAUGUGAGUGGGUGACUCCAUUUCCUGGUCUGAAUUUGUAUUCUCCCUCUGCUCCCAUGAUGGGAACAGUUGAUUGCAGAAGUCUUACGUGUUCUUUGAAUAUGCUUAGAAGUAGACUGGGCACAGAAAGUUGGAAACACCUCUAAGUUAGAAAAAAAAAAUAGGUAUCUCUGAUAUUCCAAAAAUAAAUAGAUUUGGAGUGUGAUCCAGUCUUUCGACUACACAAAGCCCUUAGAUACAGUUGAUUACAUUAUGUUUUUCUUUUUUUCUAAGUCCUUAGUAUUGUCUUUAAAGAUUGAUUUAUUUAUGUUAUGUGUAUGAGUACCACAUUAUGUUUUUCAAAGGGAACAAGUCAUUAAGUGUUUAAUCUCUGACUUUUUUUUAAUGGUACUGAGAAUGGAAUUGAAAGGUCACGCAUGCUAGGCAAGCAUUCCACCACUGAGCUGUUCUACCGGCCCUCUUUACUCUUUAUACUGAGGCAAAGCAGUCUCAUUCGGUUGCCUGGACUGGAUUUUCUCUGUAGCUUUAACAGACCUGAGUUUGCAGUCCUUCUGUCUGAGCCUCCCAAGGAAUUGAGAUCGUAGACCUACACCACCAACUUCUUUCAUUGUCUCCCAACCCAAGUUCUAUAAGUUGUCUUAGGCUUGGCUGCAUCUUAACUAUCUUUGUUUGAAUGAACAUUUUUAGCCAUUAUUUUAGAGCCAUAUAGCCCAUUCACUCUAUUCUGCUUUUUAUAUAAACUCAACUUCUUGAAAACUUAAGAAUUUUGAUCAUUCUUACCUUUUCUAGGAUACACAGACAGUUAGGACAUUGACUCUCAUCUCAAAAACCAUUCAGAUUAUUGGAAACUGGGGAUGUCAGUCCAGAAAAAAGGUGAGUUUAUAACUGUUUCCUCUUUGCAUACUUAACAAAUUUUAUUAUAUACUAAGAUUCCUUCUUCACUUACUUCCUUACAUGUUAAAAAUAAAACUGAAGAGAAUACAUAUUCACAUGCAAUAAUGGUCUUUUAGUGGGUGUUCUACUGUAGUCACCUUUUGAAGGAGACGGUGAUACUUAACCUGAUAUACCCGUGGUAGGGAAAAAACUAGGAAGAAGACACAGGCACAGCUGAGUUAUGUGGUGGUCUGUGCCAUAGUCACCUAACAGCACUGGAAGAAGCCUUCAGCUCCAGGAUGGAUGAUUCAUGGAGACAUGGACAGCUUUAUCCUUAGCUUCAAAAUACAGGCCCGUCAUUGUCUUGUGUUCUACCUCAGAGCUUCAUAAACUUGUCACUCAUGAAGCCGUUUACUUAAGAAACUUAUGCAACCUUACGUAUAAAAAUCAAACAUUUACUGAUAAUAACUUACUUUAGCAUUUUGAAGUCCUCAGCUCCCAGUGCUGAGGAGUUUUUUCUUCCAUUUGCUUUUGCAACUGCUUUCUUGGGGCUUUUCCCUAGUUUAAGACCUAGAAGGAAAAGGUCAAACAGUGACUGCCAGUUCAAAGCUAUAUGCAGGCUCUGAGGGAUAUUCACUGCUCCUCGGUUCCUCUCUCACCAAGAAUGUUCAUCAAAGAAGGGAGAAGAGCCAGGCUCAGAUCAAUAAAGUAACUGCAGGUCACUGACUC
rnacentral:lncRNA from 1 species